CAAAACAACGCUAAAAAAUUUAGGAUUCAGUAUAUAGAGCGUUUACCAAAAACUCAAUAUUUUCGUAGGGAUACAAAUAGAUUUUGAGAAAAUUUCAAAAUUUUUGAAAAUAUUGUUUUAAUACAUAUUUUUAUCAUUCACUAACAUAUGAUGAUGUUCAAAGAGGUUUGGAGCCUUUGUUGUCUCUGUUUUUCAAGAAAAUAGCAAUUCUAUAGUGGUUAUUCCACCUAUUUAGGGAGUAUUAUGAAGUUUUACUAAAUUAAUUGAUAAAAAAAUUAGAAAGAUGUCCAUGUACCAUGAAAAAGAGUUUAACAUACAUUAAUACAGAAUUAGAAUGUGGGUAGAAAUUUUAAAACAACACUAAAAAGUUUAGGAUUCAUUAUAUAGAGUGUUUAUCAAAAACUCAAUAUUUUUGUAGGGGUUAAUACGUAGAUUUUGAGAAAAUUUCAAAAAAAUUGACAUUAUUGUUUUAAUGCAUAGUUGCAUCAUUCGCUAACAUAUGAUGAAGUUCAAAGGGGUUUGAAGCCUUGGUUGUCUCCGUUUUUAAGAAAAUGGUGAUUCUACAGUGGUUAUUCCACAUAUUUAGUGAGUAUUAUGAAGUUUUACUUAAUUAAUUGAUAAAAAAUUAGAAAGAUGACUAUGUGCCAUGAAAAAGAGUUUAACAGACAUUAAUAUAAAUGUAGAAUGUGGUGUGAAAAGUCAAAACAACACUAAAAAAUUUAGGAUUUAGUAUAUAUCGCGUUUACCAAAAACUCAAUAUUUUCGUAGGGGUUAACCCAUAGAUUUUGAGAAAUUUUCAAAAAAUUUGACAAUAUUUUCUUAAUACAUAGUUGUAUCCUUCACUAACAUAUGAUGAUGCUCAAAGAGGUUUGGAGCCUUUGAUGUCUCCGUUUUUCAAGAAAAUGGCGAUUCUACAAUGGUUAUACCACCUAUUUAGGGAAUAUUAUGAAGUUUUAGUAAAUUAAUUGACAAAAAAUUAGAAAGAUGCCCAUGUACCAUGAAAGAGAGUUUAAAUAACAUUGAUACAAAUGUAGAAUGUGGGUAGAAAUUUUAAAACAACACUAAAAAGUUUAUGAUUUAGUAUAUAGAGCGUUUACCAAAAACUCAAUAUUUUCGUAGAGGUUAUAACACAUAGAUUUUGAGAAAAUUUCAAAAAAAUUGACAUUAUUGUUUUAAUACAUAGUUACAUCAUUCACUAACAUAUAAUGAGUGUCAAAGAGGUUUGGAGCCUUUGUUGUCUCCGUUUUUCCAGAAAAUGGCGAUUCUAUAAUGGUUAUUCCACCUUGUUAAAGAAUAUCAUGAAGUUUUACUAAAUUUAUUGAAAAUUUGUAAGAUGUCCAUGUACCAUUAAAAAGAAUUUAACAGGCAUUAAUAUAAACGUAGAAUAUGGUUUAAAAUUUUAAAACAACACUAAAUCAUUUAAGAUUGAGUAUAUAUAACGUUUACCAAAAACUCAAUAUUUUCGUAGGGGUUUAACACAUAGAUUUUGAGAAAAUUUCAAAUUUUUUGACAUUACUGUUUUAAUGCAUAGUUGCAUUAUUUAGUAACAUAUGAUGAUGUUCUAAGAGGUUUGAAGCUUUUGUUGUCUCUGUUUUUUAAGAAAAUAGCGAUUUUAUAGUGGUGAUUCAACCUAUUUAGUGAGUAUUAUACUAAAUUAAUUGAUAAAAAAUUAAAAAGAUGCCUAUGUACCAUGAAAAAGAGUUUCACAUACAUUAAUACAGAAGUAGAAUGUGGGUAGAAAUUUUAAAACAACACUAAAAAGUUUAAGAUUCAAUAUAUAGAGUGUUUACCAAAAACUCAAUAUUUUCGUAGGGGUUAACACGUAGAUUUUGAAAAAAUUUCAAAAAAUUGACAUUAUUGUUUUAAUGCAUAGUUUCAUCAUUCAUUAACAUAUGAUGAUGUUCAAAGGGGUUUGAAGCCUUUGUUGUCUCCGUUUUUCAAGAAAAAAUGGUGAUUCUACAGUAGUUAUUUCACCUAUUUAGUGAGUAUUAUUAAGUUUUACUUAAUUAAUUGAUAAAAAAUUAGAAAGAUGUCUAUGUGCCAUGAAAAAGAGGUUAACAGACAUUAAUAUAAAUGUAGAAUGUGGUUUGAAAAGUCAAAACAACACUAAAAAAUUUAGGAUUCAGUAUAUAGAGCGUUUACCAAAAACUCAAUAUUUUCGUAGGGGUUAACCCAUAGAUUUUGAGAAAUUUU